ensembl:lncRNA
CAGCGAGGGCCGUGACCCGGUCCGUUUCUUCACUCAAGGGAUCCCGGAGGUCCUAGGCAUAAUCAACUUCACCAAGCCUCUGGAAAUCGAACGCGCCAACAGAACAUCAGCGCCGAAACCCCGGCCAGAUGAGCCCCCACGAGCCGUCCUGAUCAGGUUGCUCCGUUUCCAAGACCGAGAGUAGAUACUGCAACUCGAAAGAGCCAAAGGGUACAUCACCAUCGAUGGAAAGAGGGUCAGCCUUUUCCCGGAAAUGAGCGCGGACCUCGCCAGACGUCGCAAGCAGUUCAGACCUGCCGCCAAAGCACUGAAGGAGAAGAGGGGGAUAAAAUGCAGUCUGUUUGUUUUCUCUUAUCCAGACUGAACUGCUGAUAUCUUCCAGUCACUAUAAUUGAUUUGUACAUUUUCAACUAACCGUAUCUUUCAGGGCAAAAUCUGCAAACCUGGGAUGGUUGUAUCCCCCAUAUACAGUGGGGCAAAAAAGUAUUUAGUCAGCCACCAAUUGGGCUCCAAACGGGCUGUCAUGUGCCUUUUACUGAGGAGUGGCUUCCGUCUGGCCACUCUUUCAUAAAGGCCUGAUUGGUGGAGUGCUGCAGAGAUGGCUGUCCUUCUGGAAGGUUCUCCCAUCUCCACAGAGGAACUCUGGAGCUCUGUCAGAGUGACCAUCGGGUUCUUGGUAACCUCCCUGACCAAGGGCCUUCUCCCCCGAUUGCUCAGUUUGGCCAGGCGGACAGCUCUAGGAAGAGUCUUGGUGGUUCCAAACGUCUUCCAUUUAAGAAUGAUUGAGGCCAUGGUAUUCUUGGUGAACUUCAAGGCUGCAGGAAUUUUUUGGUACCCUUCCCCAGUUCUGUGCAUCGACACAAUCCUGUCUCAGAGCUCUGCAGACAAUUCCUUCGACCUCAUGACUUGGUUUUUGCUCUGACAUGCACUGUCAACUGUGGGACGUUAUAUCGACAGGUGUGUGCCUUUCCAAAUCAGGUCCAGUCAAUUGAAUUUAACACAGGUGGACUCCAAUCAAGUUGUAGACACAUCUCAAGGAUGAUCAAUGGAAACAGGAUGCACCUGAGCUCAAUUUUUGAGUCUCAUAGCAAAGGGUCUGAAUACUGUAAGUAAAGUAUUUGUUUUUAUUUUUAAUACAUUUGCAAAAACGUAUGAAACAUUUUUUGCUUUGUCAUUAUGGGGUAUUGUGUGUAGAUUGAGGAAAAACAAUUUAAUCCAUUUCAGAAUAAGGCUGUAACGUAACAAUGUGGAUGAAGUCGAGGGGUCUGAAUACUUUCCGAAUGCACCGCAUAUGGACUCACUGUGUGAAAUGAUAGGGGUUGACAUGAUUUUUGAAUGAUUACCCCUUCCUCUGUCCCCCAUACAUACAUACAUACAUACAGUUGAAAUCGGAAGUUUACAAACAACUUAGCCAAAUACAUUUAAACUCAGUUUCACAAUUCCUGACAUUUAAUCCUAGUAAAAAUUCCCUGUUUUAGGUCAGUUAGGAUCACCACUUUAUUUUUAGAAUGUGAAAUGUCAGAAUAAUAGUACAGAGAAUGAUUUAUUUCAGCUUUUAUUUCUUUCAUCACAUUCCCAGUGGGUCAGAAGUUUACAUACACUCUAUUUGUAUUUGGUAGCAUUGCCUUUAAAUUGUUUAACUUGGGUCAAAUGUUUCGGGUAGCCUUCCACAAGCUUCCCACAAUAAGUUGGGUGAAUUUUGACCCAUCCCUCCUGACAGAGCAGGUGUAACUGAGUCAGGUUUGUAGGCCUCCUCACUCACACACGCUUUUUCAGUUCUGACAACAAAUGAUCUAUAGGAUUGAGGUCAGGGCUUUGUGAUGGACACUCCAAUACCUUGACUUUGUUGUCCUUAAGCCAUUUUGCCACGACUUUGGAAGUAUGCUUGGGGUCAAUGUCAAUUUGGAAGACCCAUUUGCGACCAAGCUUUAACUUCCUGACUGAUGUCUUGAGAUGUUGCUUCAAUAUAUCCACAUAAUUUUAUUUCCUCAUGAUGCCAUCUAUUUUGUGAAGUGCACCAGUCCCUCCAGCAGCAAAGCAGCCCCACAAGAUGAUGCUGCCACCCCCGUGCUUCACGGUUGGGAUGGUGUUCUUCGGCUUGCAAGCGCCCCCCUUUUUCCUCCAAACAUAACUAUGGUCAUUAUGGCCAAACAGUUCUAUUUUUGUUUCAUCAGACCAGAGGACAUUUCUCCAAAAGUACGAUCUUUGUCCCCAUGUGCAGUUGCAAACCGUAGUCUGUUUUUUUUCAUGGCCGGUUUUGGAGCAGUGACUUCUUCCUUGCUGAGCCUUUCAGGUUAUGUCGAUAUAGGACUCGUUUUACUGUGGAUAUAGAUACUUUUGUACCUGUUUCCUCCAGCAUCUUCACAAGUUCCUUUGCUGUUGUUCUGUGAUUGAUUUGCACUUUUCGC